rnacentral:lncRNA from 1 species
AGGAGGAGGAGGUUGGAAGGUUAUGGUGUUGGCUUUUGGAAAGCUAUCAGAAAAAAUUAGUUGGUUUUUAAAAGUAGAGUUUGCUUCAUUAUUUGAAAUGGAAAGAGAAUCAAGUUUUGGUUGGAUAAGUGGUGUGGUGACACUGUGACACCUUGCUAAAAGAGUCUUUCCCCACCUUAUUUGCUAUUGUCAAUUCAAAGGUUUUGUGGGUAGUAAAUACAUGGGAGGAAGAUGGGGAUCUUGGUUAUUGAAGUUCUUGUUUCUCAAGACAGUUCCAUGAUUGGGAGUUAGAGAUGGUGUAACCAUUUUUGUAGAAAAUUCAAAAGCAUUUGGAUAGGAGUGAUAUAGAGGAUAAAAUGACUUGGUCAGUUUCAAGGAAUGGGUGAUGCACACUCCUCUGUGAAAAGAAACCUCCUAGGUUGGCAUGGAUCUUUUGUGGGCAAGAAAAGGGAGAAAGCUUGGAGAGCUGCCCCCCUCUGCCUGAUGUGGACCAUUUGGAAAGAAAGGAAUAGGAGGGGCCUUCGAUGAUAUGGAGAGGAACAAUCAAGAUAUUAAAUCCAUUUUUUUGUACACUUUUGUGAAUUGGGCUAGGGUGUAUAUAGAAAAACACACUUUGUCUUUGAUAGAUUUCGUAGACUGGCUAGCCACCAAGUAAGCGUCAGACUUGUUUUGUCCCUUUGUUUUUUGCUUCUUUGUUUUUGGUAUACUCCGUGUAUACCUUUUCUCUAGCCUUUUGGCUCUUAAUGAAUUUUCUUUACCUAUCAAAAAAAAAGGAAUGGAAUGUUUUCUGUUAAAACUUUCUUACUCUUUCUUGCCUUAGGGAGUUGAAAGGCUUUCUUAGCUAUAGUUGUUUGGAAUUUGUGGGUCCCAAUGAGAAUUGGUUUUUUUGCAUGGGAAGCUUCUUGGGAAAGGAUCUUGACAUUAGGCCCCUUGAAAAGAUGGGUAUCUUGGUCAUUGAAGUUCUUGUUUCUCAAGACAGUUCCAUGAUUGGGAGUUAGAGAUGGUGUAACCAUUUUUGUAGAAAAUUCAAAAGCAUUUGGAUAGGCAUGAUACAGAGGAUAAAAUGACUUAGUCAGUUUCAAGGAAUGGAAAGUUCACUGUUAAAGCUUUCUUACUCUUUCUUGCCUUGGGGAGUUCAAAGGCUUUCCCAGCUAUAGUUGUUUGGAAUUUGUGGGUCCCAAUGAGAAUUGGUUUUUUUGCAUGGGAAGCUUCUUGGGAAAGGAUCUUGACAUUAGACCCCUUGAAAAGAAGGGGGGUUUCUUUAAUAAAUAGAUGCUUUAUGUGUAAAAUGGAGGAAGGAUUAUGACCACAUGCUUCUACAUUGUGUUACAACUUGAUUUCUGUGGCUGUUGGUUUUUUUGGUUAUUUGGGUUGCUAAGCUGGAAUGGGAUUCAAGUAGGAAAAAAGUGGGAAGAAAGCUUGGUUAGCUGCCCUUUUGUGCCCUUUCUAGAUCAUUUGGCUUGAAAGAAAAUGAAGGGCUUUUGAAGAUGUGGAAACCUGAGAUCAAUUGCUAAAAUCCUCUUUUAUGCUUUCCUUUUUGGAUCAUGUUAGAAAGAAAUACUGUCUUUCAUUUAUUUUAUUGAUUGGCCAGAAGCUAUGUAGUUGUGGGCAGGUGGUGUUUUUCCUUUGUUUGCCAUCCUUUCUUUGUUCUUUUUGCUUGGUUCCCUUUGUAUACUCUUGGUGUACAUUGGCGAGCUUUAGCCUUCCCUUUUUUACCACCCUUUUCUCUAUCUAUAAUGUUUUUCUGUGUGCUUAUCAAAAAAAGAAUAAAAAAAGACAUGGAAGUUUUGGUACACAAGUGAUGAACGAAGAUAAUGAAUGACUUUUGUUUGGUCUUCUUCUGCAUUGAUGUGUUUUGUAUAUGUGUACAUAUUCUUUCCAUCUAUCUUCUGAUGUGGAAAAGAAAAAAACAAAAGCAAUGCAUGUUAAGGAAAGCAGAAAAUGAUUGGUUAUCAAAAAAAAAGGAAAGCAGAAAAUGAUUGUGAUGUACAGAACCGAGUUACAAAUUUUCUUCUGUACUUGUUUCUUUCAUGCCCUGUUUCAGACCUUCCUUUUUUUUUUUGUGUGUGUAUUGUGGCACAUUGCCAUCAGUCUCAUGACCCUCAUCUUCAUAGCCACACUUCAUCGAGUUUCAGGAUUUUCAAGGUCACUCUGCCAAUGAUUGAAACUUUUAUUUGUGUCCUUGUGCUGUCAGUUAUGGCUGUUGAAGGACAGAAUGAAGUUAAAUGCGAUUUCUAGUUCUGAUUUUAUAUUAUAACAAAGUUUAGUUCACUGUUGUUGUUCAUUCUUCUGUCCAAAGCAUCAUUCUACCGAACUAGAUGCUGAAAUGCAUCUGUAGUACUGCCUGUACUCCUGUUUAAUUAUGAUUUGUUUGCUAACUUUGCAUUGUUAAAAUAUGUAUCAGGUUUAUUUUCAAUUGGAGAAUCUGAGCCGUGCAGACCCUCCUUACAAGUCUGUUGCUGCUCUGAAUUGUGUUAUUUUAGGUUGUGCGAAUAUAUGGGACCUUGACAGGGCCUACCAGACUUUUGAGGCAAUUGGUUCUUCUUUUGGAUUGACCCCUGAUAUACAUUCAUACAAUGCUUUGAUGUAUGCAUUUGGAAAGCUCAAGAAGGUGGGUCAUCUUAUGAAUGAAUUCUCCCUCUUUUUCUCUCCUUCUAUGCAUCUAUGUAUCUACUUGUACAAGCACUAUUUAGAUACACACAUGCACUCACACAAACACACAUGUCAUGCACGUACAUUCUUCCUUCAUGUGAGUAUCGAGCCAUUUUGUAUCUCAUGUUAUGCAUGUGAUUCUGGUUCUGUUAAUAAUUUACUUGGUGAAAAUACCAAAAGUCUCAUGACUAGAUCAUUGUAGCAAUAUUUGCUGGAGAGGCAAAACUAAUUUUGGUAAAUUCCCUGGAACAAAUUCUUUUUUUCCCUUCAUUUCCAAAUUUGGGUGGGGGUUUGUUUCUGAUUGUGUGAGAAGCAGACAGCAGCCAUGUACUUUCAGGGCCCACAUAUAUGCCUGAGUCACAGCCUUGUAAGCAUCAUGACACUCCUACAAAUGCAAGAAAUUAAACACGCUCAUAAACUUUUGUUUUAUCUGCUGGAGUAGUUCUAGAGUACUAAGUAGAGAGCUUUUCCUGUAACAGACAUUUGAAGCUUCAAGGGUGUUUGAGCACUUAACCAGUCUGGGCAUAAAACCAAAUGCAAUGUCAUUUUCAUUGCUUGUGGAUGCUCAUCUCAUCAACCGAGAUCAAAAAGCUGCUCUCUCUGUGAUUGAAGAGAUGGUAAAAUAUCCUUCCUGCUUAAUCAGCUGGCUUUUGUUAUCAAUGUUGGAUGCCAUCCCUUUUACAAAUGAUUUAUGGUAACAUAACAAACUGCAUGUACAGAUAAAUGCUGGAUUUGCACCAUCGAAAGAGAUACUUAAAAAGGUGAGAAGACGAUGCAUUAGGGAAAUGGACUACGAGAGUAAUGACCAGGUGGAGUCCCUGGCGAGAAAGUUUAAGAUCCGUAUGGGCACAGAAAAUCGCAGAGACAUGCUGUUCAACCUUGCGUACAACACCGAGUAUGCUUGAUAGGUAAAUUCUGACGUAGUUCAUAAAUCGAACAAUGUAAUGACUUUAAUAUCUUGUACGAUCGUUCAGAAGAACUUGCAGUUCUGAAAACCAUCCUUUUUUGCCAUCUUGUUCCCAGUCUAGUACUGUUUUCCUGAGUCCAUUGAUUCAGUUUCAUGAUGUUGCAGUAUUAACUCGUAUUAUUCUGCUCUCAGGUUUGCUUUUGCUUCUCUUCUCUUUGGAUCGUGGCAUUCCCAUGCAACAUUUGGCGAUGCCAACCUUGGUUUUCCCUUGAAUAUUCCUCCAUGUUUGUAAAUUACCAGAUUGUACUCAAUUUUGAGUCUUAGCUGGAGGAAUACUAGAGUGUAGCCUCCUAACACCUUGUUUUUGUAUUCUUUUUGCGAUUUUUGAGGAAAACUAAAGGGAUGACGCAAUGUUAAUCCAAAUCAGACACUUGAAUAUCGCCAAUAAUUUUUAGGGAUGUAGGGCCGCAUCCAUAAUAAUCAAUAUUUCCAUCCUAGGGUUUUAGGUUCAUUUUGAUUUCUGCCCUGAUGCAUAAUUUGUGCCUGUGCUUCUUGUUCCUUUAAUAGUCAAUUCUUUUUCAUUCAUUUCUAGUAUACAGGACCGGUCCUGAUUCAUUGCUGGGUUGGGAUCUGAUUGCUUUCUGGGUUGGUCAAAGCAAAAAUUUGAACAAUCGGCAUUAACUCAACUCAACUCGGAAUAUGAUAAAAAUCUGACACAAGAAAAAAAUUAUACAUCUGAUUUCACGCAAAAGAAAAAAAAAAAAAAGUCCUGUUUACAAUGACCCCCUUUAUUUACUUAUUUUGGUAUUAUGCAGGGCUGUGAGACGUGGGAGUAAAUCCACCAGUUCUAUGAUGCUUAAGUUGCCGCAGCAUUCUGCAACAGCAGAAGAGAGAACUUUGUGAGUCAAAUGCAAAAAAUGGAAGAAAGGUACCUUAGCUUUGGAAAGAGCAAAAUCUGAUGAUAAGCUCUAACCUGGUUUUCUUCCUCCAUAUUUGCCCUUAUGAGGGAGUAGAUGGCAACGCCAGUAAUGGCUAUUGCAGUACCGAUCGCAGUCUGCGUCGUGAUCUUAUUACCUGCCAGAUUUUUCAACCACAAAAGAAUUCAAUAUAAAAGAACCUGUUUGGUAAAUUUUGGAUUGAAAGCAAUGAGUUCAUACCAAAUACAAUGGUAGACAACACAAUGACGACCACUCGCUUCAACACACUUCCAACUGCAUGUGUGAGCGGCGAAACCCGUUCCAAGGUGCUGACAGCAAGCUGUAAUGGUAAAGCUCGAAUGUUAAAAGAACCAGAAGUCAUGGUGAAAAUGAGGUCCUGAUUUUCUGGAUAUGGUACACUAAGGUCUUCAUCUAUGAAUAGGAGUAGUAAAAUUUGAUACGAGCUGUCAACAUGAUUCAAAGUCUAUAUGUUUUUCAAAAGUUUGAGUUGAACAUAAUUGAGUUUGGAUCAAUUUCAUGUCUAUUUAUAUAACAUGAAUUUAACUUGAAUGGACCUAUUUAAUAAUAGUAUUGAUUAAUCUAAUUAUAAUUUUAAAUUAUUUGAUAUAUAUUUGACUUAUUUUAAAUUUACUUUUAAAUAAAUAAGUUAAUUGAUUAAUUAUAACUUUAAGUUAUUUGAUUCAUUUUAAAUUUAUUUUUAAAUAAAUAUGUCAAUUAAGUAAUAAACGUCUGGUUGAUAUAUUAAGUAUAUAGAUUUAUAUAAAAUCUAACUCAAUUUUAUUAUUAAAUAACAAGACUUGAUAAGUAAAUGUGUUAAAUUGGCUAUAUAAUGUGUUACUGGUUUAAUAAUUAAGCAAUAUUUGGAUUUAUGUUUUUAACUUGAUUAUUAUUCUUAUCGGGUUUUGAUUGAUAUAUGUUACAUAGAAUGUUUAGGUUUCGACAUUACAUAAAUAUGACCCACCAACGUCAAUUGCUACUUGGUAUCUAUAAAGAAGGGAAGAAAGUCACAUACCUGAUUGUCCAAAUGGAAAAACAAUCCAACCCAGAAUAAAUCAGACACUAAUUUAGCUAGACCCACUUUAGCAAUAGCGUCCCUGAACCCAUGUUGCAUCAGCUGAGGCCCAUCAAUCUGAAAGUGUUUACAUCAGGAGAAUCUUCAACAAACAAGAAAUGUCAUAACUUCACUUGGUCUAUGUGAUACGGAAACAUACAAGUAGUGCAGGUGGGAAGCAAAACACAAGGGCGAUCAUUGCAGUAUAAGCGCACACAUUUGCACUGUCCAUCCCUGUCUGUUAAAAACCGAAAAACAAGUAAGAAGCAUAGCAAGAAAACAUGCUAAAUUGGUAAAUUUUCAACCCAAUCAACGUAUCUUCUUGAAUGAUUCGACAAAUGAGGACAUGCAUAUGCGUAGGUUGUGUGCAUGUGGGUUGGUCAAUAGCUGUGGUACCUGGACUCUUCAACUUCAUCCAAUGUGCUGUUUCGACACGACUUGAUAGUGUUGUAGGUGUGGGUAUCAUUUUCAAAUAUUCCUAUUUUGCUUUAGAUACUAAUAAAUUUUGUUCUUAUCAAGGAUGGUAUCCGAGUACCAUUCAAGAUUAUGUUUCAACUGUUCCUAUGUCCUAAGCUUUGAAAAGUGAAGGAUCAGACACCUAAACCCGACACCCUCAUAUCCCAAACCCAUGUAACAUAGGUUAACAGUGUGGAUGGAGAUGACCACACGCAAAUCAUCAAUUCCAUUCUACAAUUUCAAAGAGGCCCAUAUAAAAGGUUUUUCCAUGGGAUGGGCUGUAAAAUGAGUUGGGCUACAAGGGCAAAAGGGCUAUGAAGUCCUGGUUUUCUUGGAUACUUCAAGAUUCAUUUCUGUUGGAAUCUUAUUAGACGGUUCAACUCAAACCCAGUAGUCUCCUGAGGAUGCAUUCUGAGCUUUAGAAAGCAUUUCAUCACUGCAUCAAAAUUAGACACAUGGAUGAGCAAAAACAAAGGAAAUUUCACAAUUUCACGGUUCAACUCCCCACCUUCUAUAGAAACACUCUCACAACCUAUAAAAUGGAAAUAGAACAUCGAAGACACAGAAAGAAGACAGUGCCUUAAAGAUCUUACCAUUGCUUUCUUUAAAUAUAAACUUCUGUAGGUAAAAGCAAAAUUUGCAACCAUUGCACUGAUGAAACCAGUCCAGUUGAAAGAAAGUUCAGUGAGUGAUGCCAUUGAUACACCUAAACGAAAAGUUAAGAAGCAAUUCAGUGAUUUCGGAGUCUAGAGGCAUAAUUAUAUGGAACAUGCUGACACAAAUGAACUUAACAGACCUGCCAUGUCGAAGUAUUUAUUCAGAUACUUAAAACGAACAAAUAAACAUCAAGACAUAUGAGCAUAUCUUUUAUCUCUAUAUAAAUGAUUCUCCUUUCUUGCCCUUCUAGCAACAACAUCACCAUUAUGUCUUAGAUAAUUUGUCCAACAUGGUAGGUCUGAGGACAUCCAAUGUUCAUUUUAGACUAACGAGAACUGAAGAAAGUAAAAGGAAGAAGAAUAGAAUCCAUAGAGAUACCAAAAACAACAGGGGCCAAUGACAGCCAGAGGGGGAAGGGAAUCUGGUGGCCUAAAACAAAUUGAGAAGCCGCAGCAUUGAAGAAUGGCUCGAGGGCUGCAGAAUAAACAUCGAAAUAAUUAGUUAGAAGCAAGAAACUAUCAUAAUCUCAAUUGUUUCCCAACUUAAUUGAACCGCUAAGCUACAUAACAGAAUUCCCAAGCCUUAUCACCAUAUUGAACAUGGUGAAGUAAAAGCUUGUCAAUCAAUUGAAGUACCUAGUUCUAAAUGAACAUUAGUACGUUCACCACUCUCAGUCAUGACCAUUUCUACAUGGUGAAUGUGGGACUGACAGCAAAUGAUUCAAACAGGUUGGUUGAUAUCAGCCUCAGCUCUAGAACACCCUAGGCUGAUACAAGACGCUCAGAACCAGACAGCAGAUUUCAAGGUUGCAGAUACUGAGUAGGCAAUUAGCACAAAAAUUGGGCUUGACGGUCUUUAUGAAAUCAUUCAAAAAAACAUACCCAAAAACAGAUGUGAAAUGCUAGCACAUUUUCAUAACUAUCAACAUAAUAUUGAUACAAUGAGCUUCAGGUAUUGAGGCAUUUCUGCAUAUUUCUUAACCUUUGAUAGUGUGUGUGAAUGACACAGCCACAGAUGCAAAUGAUACAUUAGUCAUAACAUGUCCAAGGGCAUGGCAGAAGGCAACAGGAGUGAGGAGCAGCAGGAACUCCUUAUCGAUCGGCUGGUUUCAUAAAAACACAGUUAAUUCAAUUAAAAUCAUAAAUGUACCUUAAGGAUAAUAGCAAUGAACAUGAAAAUAGGGACUUACAGCACGUUUUGGUAAGCCAAGAGACCAACAGACAAGACAGUAGAUCACACCCACCAGGAGAUGGAUAAAAGCAACAAAGCUGCAAAAUGGGAAAAAGCUCUUCUAAUUGUGAGAUGGGGAUUAUAGAUUCAACCUGUAUAUUAUAAAGCAAUUUAACUAGUUGCAGAUGGAAAUCAUAAAGGCUUGAAAGGACAAAAUUUAGCAGAGACAUACUAACCGUGGGUACGGGAAAUAAUUAUAAACCUUCUUGUUGAGUAUGUUGAAGACGAUAUUCGAAAAAUACCUGCAUAGAUAACAUUAACUGAUUGGGGAAUCAUAGCUUGUAUUCAGUAGUCCAGUUAGCAACAAUUUCCUAAAACCCUCAGUGUGAAUGAAACAUAUGUAAAAACCCGCCGCUUUGGGUCAAAGCUCACAAGCUUAAAACAGCAUUCACGUGGUUAAAAGAGUCUAUCACUUGAAUAGUAUUAGAAACCUCUGUCCCUAAUUGACAUAAGAAUGAAUGGAUACAAAUGAUAUCAGAAUCAAGCCGUAGCUUAAUGUGGGAGCUUGAGUGAUUGCUCUAACCGCCCUGUAAUCCCAUGGACGCUGACACUAUAUUCUUAGUGGACUUCUCUUGACUAUUCAGAUCUACCACCAACUGGGGGACAUUCAUUGGUUGUGAUAGGCACACAUUCUUUUGAAAAGGCACAGAUCUGAAGCUGAAGAUUAAAGGAGUUUCCAUGGGUUAAUGGAAGUAUAUUUCCAACUUCCAAUUAGACAAGUGGUUCCAGAAAGCACUUUUAUCCCUAUGAGCUGUCAAACAAAACGGUGUCCAGUUAUAUGCAGAUAAGCCUACCAUGUCAUGAAAAAGGAUCCGGUGACCAGCGCCGGGAAUCUCUCCGACAAGCUCUUGGCAGGCUCUACAACUCUGCAAUUACAAAUCUGAGUAUCAAUUUAUAACAAUAGCAAUGGGCAAUAUGCUAAAUUUGGUAGAAGGGAAAAUGUGGGAAAGUCAAGGAAUUUGUAAUUAUCUUCAUAACACUCCACCACCAGUCUACCCACCAACCGAAGCAUAAUGCUUCAGUUUACAUGGCUUUUUUUCUUUUCCUCCAUUUUCCAUCCAACCAAACAACAUAAAAAGACAAAUGAGGGUGUGACGAAGCCCAACCCAUCCGCAUCUGCAGCUGCAGCUGCUGGAACCCCGAGUUCUCCCCCCUUGCUGCCUCGCCUCCUCAACAUCUCAUUCCAACCGCCAAAUCUCAAGCACCUGCCGGAAAAAUCAAUCGGAUCCGGAGACGCCCGAAUCUCCGGCAACGGCGAAAAGGGUCUCUGAGAAACAACUGUUCUGAUCCUGAGUAGUCCAUAGUUUCCUGAAAUUCCCCUCGGAGACAAGGGCAGAGAAGACAAAAGCCGAGAGCAAGAAGCUGAAGCAGCCGUCAAAGCCAUCAGAAACAAACCACAAUGCAGGACUCUAAAUCUACAUGAGGAGCAACCAACUGAAACGGGAACUGGAUUUUGGUGAGCCGAAGAAGAUGGAAGUCAUUGAUGAAGUUGGAAUGGAGGAGUGAAGAAAGCAGGGGAGAAAAUUGUGAAAAACAAGAAAAACAAGCUCCUCCAUUAAGUAAUGUUGGUGAUGAGGAAUUGAGAGUGAAACUCACUAUAAUAACAAUAAUGUGGCUAUCAGCCUAUCACAUGGAGGAGAGAGAGAGAAAGGAAGAGAGAGAGGAGGUUUGUCUGGUUUGCCUCGUCCUAUCAUGGCCGUAGCGUCCCUACCAACCCAAAAGUCGGUUGGUAUAAAUGAAAAAAAAACAGUAAUUUUAAUAAAUAAAAAAAUAAUGCGUACGCAUAUGACAUAUCUACUAUUUUUUUUUUUAUAUUUUCUAAUAGCCAUGAUUGCUUAUUUGCUUAAAAAAGUAAUUGAAGUCCCCAUUCAAAUGGAAGUCCCCACAACAUGAUGCCUUCCAUGAAAAUAAAAUAAAGGAAGUUGAUAAAGUGAUGUUCUUAUUUUGAUAAGAGUAGGUUUUCAUUCCAUUAAUAAUGAUUUUUUUUAAAAUUUAUGAUCAUGAUUUAACUGGGAUGAUGGCUGAAAAAUGAAAUAUCUUAUUUGGGAUUCCCUUCUUUUCUUAUUUUUGUGUGAUAAAAGAGCUUUUAGCUUUUAGCUUUUGUGUGAUAAAGAGCUUUUGAAUAAAGAUCACGUGAAAUAAAUCCAAAGCAGGAGCUUUCACUACAAGGAAUAUUGUCCGUACUUAUCUACUAACUUCCUUUCCAAUCCAUAAGUUUUCACCAGCUUACUGUUUAGGGAGAAAGAAACCAUUCAUUUAAUGAAGCAAACCUAAUGGUCAAACAAACUGAAUCCAAAUGCUUGGAAAGCACCAUUUCUCUGUUUCUGAUAGCUUUUAUGAAAAACCACCCACCACCUCAGGAGUCUGUCUCUCUGAAUUUGAACAAGUAUGAUUCUGGGGAUCCAUUAAUUCAAUCUAUUUUUUAGAACCCCUUUAUUAUCCUCAGUAAUAUACAAAGCUUUGCAGAGUGUGGGUAGGAUAGAUUCGAUAGCUCUAUGAUGCUGGAGUUACAGCAGCUUUCUGAAGUAGCAGAAAAAUUUUGUUAGUCCACUGCAAGCAUGUUUAGCCACGAGGGAAGAAGUAAAAAUGAAGUACUAAAUUGGAUUAUUUGUUCUUCAUCAUAUUUAUUUGAGACCCAUGAAUAUGUCUUAUUUGGCAACGAUUUUUCAAAAACAGUUUUCUAUUUUUUAGAUUAAAAAAAAAUCAUAAAAAUAUAUUGGAUAGUCUUUUAAAAAUAAAAAAAAAUAGAAUAUUUUAAAAUAAAAUAUUUUAAAAAUGAGACUUUGUCCAUGCAUUUCAAGCCUAAUCUUUAUUUCAAGGGAAGAGCUUGGUUCUUUAUUUAAAGGGGAGAGACUCAUGGGUAACAAUAAGAGCAAACCAUAUUCUAGGAACAUAUGAAAAUGGAAAGAGUGCAAUUGAUAGUGGUUUUUUUUAAAGGGUUAUUUAGAGUCAUUUAGUAAUGAUUUUAUAAAGUGUUUUUAGUUUAAAGAGUAUUCUCGAAAAAAAAAAAGUAUUAAACAAAAUUUAAGUAAUAUUUUUAAAAUUUUUAAAAAUUACUUAUAAUGUUUUUAAGAAAAAUAUUUGAUAAGUGAUUUUAUAGAGAAAACACUUUCACUAAAAAUAUUUUGAAUAAAAACGCUAUUAGAUGCACAUUUAAAGCCCGUUUGAUAUUGAUUUUAGGAAACAUUUAUAACAUUUUUAACACUUGAAAAAUUUUUAUCAUUCAAGUGUUAGAAAGUUUAAAAACGUUUUCUAAAAUCACUAUCAAACACACUAUUAGUAGAAGUGUUUUCUUUAAAAGUGUUUCUGAAAUACUUAUUUAUUAAGAAUGUGUUUGGUAGUAAUUUUAGAAAAUAUUUUUAAUUCUUUUAAUAUUUAAAAGAUAAAAAAUUUUAAGUAUUAAAAUAUUAAAAACAUUUUUUAAAAUUACUAUCAAACGUACUCUUAAAACGUGCUUAAUAACAAUUCUAUGAGGUAUUUUUAGUACUUAAAAAGAUUAAAAUUCUCCAUAUUAAAAAGUCUAAAAACACUUUUUAAAAUCAUUAUCAAACAUCCUUUAAAUAUUUUGUAAAGAACUAAUAAAAAAAAGGUAUUUUCUAACUUUUUGUAUGAACCCAUAAUUUUUCUUUAAAAAUACCUUUUAAGGUAAAAGUGCUCAGCCAUGUGAUAAAAUCUUACCCGUUUUUGCUCUUCAAUGUUUGCCUUUAUGAGGGAGUAAAUGGCAACACCAGCAAUGGCUAUUGCAGUUCCAAUCCCAGUCUGCCUAGAGAUUUUGUUCCCUGCCAGAUUUUGCAGCCAUUAGAAUACAAGAAAACAAGAGUUAGUUCAGUGAGGAUGGCUGAUAAAUAUUGAAUCGAGGUCUGAAGUUUUUCUGAUAUGGAAAUUUAGAGUUAGUUGGCGGCACAAAUCAUUUUGAGGGGAGGAAUGAACCAAUACCGAAUAUAACAAUGGAGAAUCCAAUGACAAAAACUCGCUUCAACACAUUUCCAACUGCAUGUGUAAGCGGCGCAACCCGUUCCAAGGUGUUGGUAGCAAGCUGCAAUUGGAAGCAAAAGAGUUAAAAGAACCAGAAAAAUGCAAAUUCAAUACCUUAUUAGUCUGAUUCACACUAUGUCACUAUCAGACAUGCGCAUUUGGAGUCUAACACAACAGCUUGAAAUUGACAAGGAUGCAUUUGAACCUUCGACACCACUUAUUAGGUCAACAAAAGCUCUAAUACCAUUUAUUCAAUCGAUAAAAGCUUCAAUAUUAACAAGUACAUAAAGUUUUAACAUGAUUUGGUCUAUCAUAUCUAUCUUCACAAAAGAAAUAGAACAUUCAUUAUAUAAUAAAAAAUAUUGCAGAUGAUAAAACCAUAUACAAUUAUUGAGUCUCAAACUAUCCCAUAUUUUCUACUUUUUGUAUCUCUGCCUUAAGUUCUUUAAUUCCAUCGAAUUUUAUUAGGUGUCUCUCAUUCUUUUUCAUAUUUUUAUCUACUAUGUAUAGUCCUUAUAAGUUUAUCUCUUUCAUAAACUUUACUCUUCAUAACCUGAGAUAUUUACAUAAAUAUUUAUAUCAACUUUCUUUAUUUUAUAAGAAAUCUAAUUACAAUUACAUACCAAAAUAUUUUAUAUAAUAUUUCUUCUAUAAAAAAAAAAAUAUAUUCUAAGUAAUAAUUGUGACACUUUCCAACUGCAUUUAAAACAUCAUAUAACAACAUGGUUUAUAUGGUUCAUAUGCUUUUUGCUUAUACAACAAAUAAAGUCAUUCGGUUAUAUCCUAACUUCGUUAUCACGGUACUUGUCCGUAAAUGUGACUCUAAUAAAAAAAUGUAACAUCAAGCAGGGCCAAAAUUUCUCACCACCCAACUUUCAAAUGGUGCGAGUUAUGUGACAGAUCCUGGACGUAUAUGCCCUUUUAUGGACUUCCAUAAAGUUAAAUUUUAAUUACAAAGGAAUCCCUGAAGUGACUUGGACAGAAAAAGACAAGGAGGCCUAGAAAAAUCUUAAAAUGUACUAGAAAAGCUAACAACUUACACUAUAAAGAUCAAGCAAUAAGAAGCAGCUCCAACUAUAGAAUGUGAUGUUCAAUGAACUUUUUUUUUCCAGAGCUAAGAAGGGUAGCUAUGGAUGUGGCUUACCUGAUUGUACAGAUGGUAAAACAUUCCAAUCCAAAAUAGAUCAGACAAAAAUUUGGUUAGACCGACUUUAGCAAUUGCAUCCCUGAAACCAUACUGCAUCAGCUGAGGCCCCUCAAUCUGAAACCAAAUAAUCAGAAUUUCGACCAAGAAACAAGAAUUUCAUAACUUCCAUUCAUCUCUGUGAUAAGCAAACGUACCAGUACUGCCGGUGGGAUGCAAAACAGGAGGGCGAUUAUUGAAGUGUAUGCAUAUACAUUUGUGCUGUCCAUUCCCGUCUGUUAAAAAAAACACAUGAAUUAGUCCAUUUUCAGCACAAAAAAGACUUCUUCUUGAGUGAUGAGGCCAUUCCCUUGUGUUUGUGUGUAGUUUAUGUGCAGAGUUCAAGAGAGAUUUAUGAAUAUCAGCAUGAAUAAAGACUAACAUAUGACUUCAUGCAUGGAUUAAGCUUCUUGAAGAGAAAUGAGGAACAUAAUCAAGUAAGAAAUGAAACGAAAACUUCGAAUACAAGACACUUCCUGAAAGAUCUUACCAUUGCUUUCUUUGAAUAUAUACUUCUGUAGGUAAAUGCAAUAUUUGAAAUCAUUGCACUAAUGAAGCCAGUCCAGUUAAAAGAAAGUUCAGUCAGAGAUGCCAUUGAUACGCCUAAAAUAGAAAUCGAGCCGUUCAGUAUUUCAGCGAACAAACUGAGACAUAAUUAUGUGGCACAUGUCGACAAAAUCACCAAACAGUCUGCCAUAUUGGCAUAUUUAUACAUAUACAUGGCAGGUGGAGGACGUCUGAUGUUCUUUUUACAGUUAAGGAAACCGAAAAAAAAUCGAAGGAAGGGGACUAAAAUUCAAGGAGUUACCAAUAACAACAGGGGCCAAUGACAGCCAGAGGGAAAAGGGAAUUUGAUGGCCUAAAACAAACUGAGAAGCAGCAGCAUUGAAAAAUGGCUCCAGGGCUGCAGAAGAAGCAUCAAGAAAUAGUUAUGAGCAAGAAGCUAUCAUAAUCUCAACUGUCACCCAACUUAACCAAACUCUUAAACUACCCAUCCGAAACCAGGGCAUAUGCUUGUGCCACUCCAUCUCGUUCAUCACCUUUGAUAGUGUGGGUAAAUGACACAGCCACCGCUGCAAAUGACACAUUAGACAUAACAUGUCCAAGGGCAUGGCAGAGUGCAACAGGAGUGAGGAGCAGCAGGAGCUCCUUAUCCAUCGGCUGGUUUCAUAAAAACACAGUAAAUUCAAUUGAAAUCCAUAACAUGCCUCAGGUAGACAUCUAUCAAAUAUGAAAUACAGGACUCACAGCUCGUUUUGGUAAACCAACAGCCCAACUGACAAGACAGUAGGCCACGCCCACAAGGAGAUGUAUAAGAGAAACAAAGCUGCAAUGGGGGAAAAGAUGAUCUAAUUGUUAACGAGAAUCGUAUUUUCAAAACAUGAAUCUGUAAAAGGUUAAAUUGACAAAGGUUUAGCAAAGAUAACUUACUAUGGGUAUGGGAAAUAAUUAUAAACCUUCUUGUUAAGUAUGUUGAAAAUUACAUUCAAGAAGUACCUGCAUAGAUAAACUGGCUUCUGCUUAGAGCAACACAAUGGAAUAGUAAUAGUUUCCUUUAACAAUCCUUGGAUCGGAAAUGUGAGUGGAUUGUGAUUUUUUUUCAACUGGUAUGAAGAAUUUCAAGAACCCUUAAUUGGGAAAUUUCAGAAUACAUGAACAUAGCCACUCAUGAACAACAGCAGCAUACCAAAAAAUGAAGGAAAAAAGGCCGAGAUUAUUAACCAUCUACAUUGUAUCAAUCAAACGAGAAACAGGAUGAUUACCACAAGUCACAAAUGGUAUUGAUCAAUUAGUAUGAUCACGAAUUCAUUUCACAAUCUCAAAAUAUGAAAUCCAAAAGAUUAUUCAUAAGGAACAAUUCAGAGAAUUGAAUGAGUUCUAUUGCGUAUUAGUGAAAACAUUCUCUCAAAGACUAAUUUAAGUAAGUUCCAAAAAACCGCCAUUAUGGCAAACGGAAGUCUUUCAAAUUUUACAGGGGAGUGAUAAAAGGAAAGGAAUCAGACAAGUGAGAAAAAGCCUACCACAUAAAGAAAAAGAAUCCGGUGACCAGGACGGGGAAUUUCUCUGCAAAGCUCUUUGAAGGCUUUGUAACACUGCAGUUACACCAUGAGUAUCAGUUAUCCAAUUAUAGCAGUUAAUAAUGCUGCGUUUGGUUGCUGAGAAAAUGUAGGAAAAGCAAGCAACCCAGAAUUUUGAAUGAAAUAAAAAAAAAGGAGAGAUGAAGCCCAACCCAUCGGCAUCCGCAGCUGCAGCCGCCGGAACAGGAAGUUUUACUCCGGCGCCACCUUGCCGCCUCAGCAGAGGAUCCCAACCAGCAAAUUUCAAAGCAUUGCCGGAGAAUUGAACCGGAGCCGCAGACACUCGAAUCUCCGGCAGCGCCGAGAAGGGACUCGCAGAAACAAGUGAUGGAGUCCUGGGCAGUCCAUAAUUACGCGAAAUUCUCUUCGCAUUCAAGCCCAGAGAAGAAAACUGAGAGCAACGAACCGAAGCCGCCAGCGAAGCCAUCCCAAACCAAACACAAAGAAAAAAGCCCCAAACUACGUCGCCCACCACCAACUGAAAACAAUACAGAGCCUUUGAGCGUGCGGAGAAUAAAAAUCAUCGAAAACGAAACUAAAACAAAUGGGUGUCGAUGAAAUCAAGGAAUCAAGAAAAAAAGCGGAGACAUCGACAUAGGAAGUGGUGGGGAAAAGCGCUGAAGACGAUGUCGUCACUCUGUGACUGAUGGAAAUUCAAAAAUGGGAAGGAGUGAGCGCUUGAAAAAGAUGGACGGACACCUGCUGACCAUCAGCAACAGAAUAAAAAAGAAAAAAAAAGAAAAAAAAAAGUGGUGGAAUCAUGUGAAGAGUGAUGAAUUGAGGUAGUUGGUUGUUCUUCAUUAACGGUGAGAGUUGCCUCCAAAAAGUCGUUGCCCAACUGUGCCUUUGGGACCUACCCACUUGUGUUGUGGCCACGUGGGUGUGACUCACUCUUCUAAUAAUUGGGCCUGAGUGACUCUUCGAUGCUCCAAUGGACCUUUUUCUCUCUCCCUCGUCUCCUCCCCUCCUAUCAUUCUUGGAAUCCGCUAAAAUAAGAAUGCGGCUAGAAUAUGAAAAGAAAUAUAUACAUAUAAAUUAUAACAUGAAAAUAAAUCUGGCUUUGGAAUCUCAUCAAAUACCUAAAAAAAUUACACGAAAUUAAUAAUAUAAUCAAUAGAUAUUAUAUACUAUAGUUUGUAUGUAUAAUUUAUUAUCAAUUUUUUAAUUGGGAAGCUAUGGAUUGAAUGGGUCUAGUUUGGUUUUAUAUUUAAAAAUUGAAAUUAUUAAAAAAAUUAGUGUCACGUCUUUAUCUCGUGAGUAUAGUUAUUAACAAAAACUCAUUGAAUUUGUUGUUUGGGCUCAGAAUAGAAUAAAUUAAAAGUUGCUCCUACCACCUGCCCCACAAUAAUUAAAAUUUAUUUUUGGAAAUUAUAUUUAAAAACAUGAAUCUCUCAAUUUUCACAAAACAUAUACAAAUAAUGUUGAUAAACAUGACACAAAUCACAUCUGAGCUAUCACAUGUGUCACAUGUUUGUCCUUAAUAAUAUGAUAUUUCUAGUUUUUAUUAUUAAUGACUUUUAAGGCUUUGUCUACUCACGUUCAAAAUUUAACACUUUACCAUAAACUUAUUAAAGACCCAUAUUUUACAUUCAAUUACAAACUUUUCAUAAAAAUUAUAAAAGAGAUCGGUUUUUUUUCUCUUUAUUUUUGUUUGAUUAUUAGUAUUAAAAAAUUGGAAAUAAUUAUAGAGGGAGGUAGACAAAAUUGGAAAUAAUUAAAAUUAUUAUUUUUUUGUUAUUUUCUACCAUAUUUCCCUUUUGUUUCUUCAUCAUCUCCUAUACGAAAAUGGGGCCUUGACUUUAUCAUAGAAUCCAAUUCCUUGAAAUUAUUUGGUUAACAAAUUACUAUGAUGAUAGUAGAUCCCAAAAAAUGCUAAAAAUAGGCUUUACUUUAUAUAAAUAAUACAUAUGGUCCCAACUUUAUGAUUUUCUCUUUAUGUGCCUUCAAUUAUUGAUGACUACUAUAGUGAUUAUGACAUUGAUAUUCUAAGAAGAAUUGUUUGUUAACACUUUUUUAUUUCAUUUAUAAGGGAUUUUUUUUCUUUUAGUAAAAUAAAUAAGCAUGUAAUUAACUACUCUAACAUUUUUCAUAUAUUUUUAAAAAUAUUCCUUAAAAAUAUUAUUUAGUUUUACAUUUAUAAAAUUGGAAUCAGAUAUCUAAUUCUUAAUAAUAUCCUAUAAUCAAGACAAUUAAUUGAAUCCUGUAAAAUCAUUUCAACGAAGUUCAUUGAUAUCAUUUUUUUAUAAAGCAAAUCAACAUCAAUUCUUGAAUAAUUUACAUCGCUUUUAUUUUUAUUGCGGCAAAAGAUCCCAUUUUUAAGUUAAAACUUCCAUCAUCUUUGGAUAGAAAUGAAAAGGUUGACUUGUAUUUAUUUAUUUAAAAAAUAAAGUUACUUGCUUCAUUUUAAAUAAAUCUUUUUAACAUGGUUUUAAAUAUUUUAGUAUUUUUCUAUUAUUAAUGUUUUUAUUUCUAAAAGUUUUAUUACCUUCAUUUUUUAAAUAGUAUUAAAAUUAUAAAAAUUAUUACUAUUUUUUUUAAAUAGAAAUUAUGUGCAAAUAGACACUAAAGGUUUUAAAAAAUUGAGAUAUAAAAAAAAUUAGUACAAAAUAUUUAAAAAUUAUUUUUUAAAUAUAUAAGAUAAAUUUAUAUUUUUUUCGAAAUUUUCUACUUUUAUGUAAAAGUUUCUGAUUAAAAAAAAUUAAUUUAAAAAAUUUAAAAUCCAAAAGAAGAAGAAAUCUUGGUCCAGUCAAGGCAGUGGAGCUUAAAUUUUGGGCUGGCUCAGCAAUCCGUAACCCAACAACACAAUCACAUUUAUUUUCUCUGAUCAUUUUUAGAUCAAACGCUGAAACCCUAAUAUUCAAAAUCGAGAAAACGUUCUCACUUGCAGAUUCUCGAAGCGGUCCUCAUGGACGGUACUGCCAAAGAAGAAGAACAAGACGGAAUGUCCGUACACUCUCCGUGCAAAGCUCCCCCUUCUUCCACUUCUUCUCUUUCCAAGGCAUCUCUAAAUGUAUGCAUUCGUGUCUCAGUUUCUUUUCUUUCUUUCUUUCUUUAUUUUUUUCUUUUUGGUGUGGGGGGGUGGGGUUCCUUAGGUUUUUUUUGUUGAAUUAGGAUGUCUCUUUGUUGUUAAACAGGAGCAAUCUCAAGUUGAUUUGGAACUCCGAAUUCUUGAAGCUCUUGAAAUUUAUCCUCUUGUCAAGCUACAAGGCAAGUUCGUUUUCUUCAUUUUCAUUGUAUGAACGUUGGAUUAGCUAGUGAUCCUUGUGGAAGGGAUUUGAGAGUGGUGGUGAAGACAGGUUUGAUCAUGCCUGGUGAUCUUAGGUUUCAAUGCCGCAUUGAUUGAAUCUUUGUCUUCAUAUUGUCUUGCUUGUUUUCGUAGUUAGUAUAUGGUGGUCUUUUGGUUUCUUUAUUGGAAAGUUGCUAUGUUGGAAUGUUUGAGAGGUUUUCUUUGCUGCCAUUUUUUUCAUUUUUUUACUUUUGGUUUUGUGGAAGAAGAAAGGCGUUUGAUUUGGUCCAAGGACUGGCUCUUGGAGUUAAUAAGCAGUCAGAUGGAGAAAGAAAUUAAUCGUCGAUGUGAAUUUACAAAGUAAUUCUGAAGGAUUUCACGCUUAGAUGGUAAUUAGUUGAAUAAGAGAUAUGCUCGUUAAUUGCAGAAACAGAGGGUAGAUUUUUUUGAUUGCUAAUUUCACACCUUGGAAUGUAAAUAUUUCCUUUGUGGGAUUGUGUGGUCUGGAAUAUUGUAAGGGUGCCAGCAUCUUAUGCUAACAAACCAAUAUGUACUAUAAUAGCAUCCAUAUACGUAACGAAAUAGCUAAAUUGAAGUGAUAAUGUGUUUCCUUCAUUUAUAUCGUAUGGGAAAUGCAUAAUGUGACUAGUUCGUAUUGUAUCUUGUUCUUCAAUUGAAAGGCCAGAAAUUAGUUUACUCUCUUUUUCUCACAAGGGAUAAGUGAACAAAGGGUGUCCAUUAAAUAAUCAAAUUAAUGAGUGCCAAUUGCUUAAGCAGCACAUGUAGUUCCGUCACAUUCUUGAUGUUGAGAAUUUCAUAUUAUCAAAAGUGCUACUUGUGCCUGGAUACAAAGAUCCUAUGAAGCUCCAUUAUACUCUAUCUUCCUUGGUUGUUAAUAGGGUUUUCCAAUGCAUAGGUGGAGGGUGAAGAUGACAAGUGGUCAGUUUUGUUGUCUUAAUAGAAAAAUUGUGGAAACUGAAACCAUUUUCUUGGAAACUAUUUGUGAUUGCAAACUGUUUCUCAAAUAAGAUUCUUAUUCUUACUCUUCUUAUUAUUAGUUGGAAAAGCACCUUGUACCCAGGUUUUGGGUUUGAUGUUGUCUAUUAAAUGUUCCGUAGUGAUAAACACACAAUAUUUAGCUCAAGAAUGUGCAGUUAUGGUAAAAAUCAAACAGCAGUAUGAAGUAGAGAAAGUCAAGGAUAAGAGUAACUUCUUUUUGGCAAAGGGGAAUCGAUGAUCUCCUAAUAGGCAAAGGGUUCACAAGGCAUUGCUGGAGAAACAAAGAAACAUGAAAAAGUGGAGAGGAUGGGGAGAGAUGGAUGCUAAGACUGCUAGGAUUAUUUGUCGUAGCUGUUGGAUGAAUUCAUUCAUAUUGUGAUUAAUAGAGAGAAAGUUGAAGUGACACGGAAGAACUAAAAAAUUAAUUAUAUGGUGAAGAAUAUUAUGAACAAGUUCUGUGUGAAGAAACAACUGUAUAAUUUGUAGAUGGAGGGAAAUAUGGAAUUGCUGGUGCAUUUCAAUGCAUCUAACAUGUUAAGCACAAAUUGUUAAAUUUUGGAGUGAAAAUUGAAGAGGAAAAUGAGGUGAUGCUUCUAUUGUCAUCACUUUUCGCAUCUCAUAGUCUCUAGUUACUACAUUGUUGUAUAAGAAGACUAGUAUUUGAGGAGAUGACUAGAGGCCUCAUGUCAAUGAGAAAAGGUGAAAGCUAGUCGUAUGUUGGAAGCACAUAUUUCUUGGUUUUGAGGAAGGUAUCAAGGGCGUAAAAGAAGGAACUCUUUAGCAGAGAUGUUGCAUCUGAUGAUGCCUUUAUGUUAUAAAAGGAAUUAAAAUGAUGUGUCAAUUGACAGCUACUGCUGCUGAAAGGAAGGUGCCAAGCACAAUGCUAGAUUUGACUCUGCCUUCUUUUGUUCAAGUAGGCAGUUUUGCUGGACUACAUGUUAAUAUGGUUUUUGUGCAUGAUACCCAUAAUGAUUUUAUAUUUCUGUGCUUGCACAAACAAGUGUUCUGGAAACCAGUGUCAUGCAAAAAUUACUGUUAUCCGUAAUCACAAUGCAAAUUUUUGUUGGUUUUGGGGGUAAAGAUAAGUUGUAAGUUCUUGAUUUUGUCAUCCUUUCUUGCACUUUCCAGUUUUGGAAGAAAGUUCAUAAUGUCAGAGUCAGGACAGGUAGGGCUAAUAAUCCUUCUGGAAAUGGUAUAAAAAUACAAUGCAAUAGUCCUCUUUAGUAGGAUUUUGUUGUUCAGACUGCCUUUAAAAUUUGAUUGAUGCUUGGUGUGGAAAGGUGAUUAAAAAUUUAUUACUUUAUAGAGCAUGGUUAAUGAUAAAUUGGUCCUUUUAAUAUCAUUGAAAGUUAUGUUCCACUUAGACAAAUAUUUUUCUAGCAAUCCUUGAAGAACUUACAUGUUGCUGAUGAUAGAACUCACACUUGUUACAAGUCAUUUACCAUUAAGCUGGGAUUUUAAGGAAAAACUACCUCUGGUGGUCAAUGCACUAAGCUAAUAAUAAGACAGAUGAAGUAUCAACUUCUAAUUUCUUUCUUAAUUAUCAGUUUAUUGAUAAAUGCAAUAAUUUAACCAAUUGUUUUCCUGCAGGCAUUCAUCGUCACUUUAUCCUCUAUAGUCUAAUGGAAUUUAUGCGAAGAAGGUUUGAUCUUGCUCUUUGUUGCUUUUUACUCUCUAUAGUUUUCCACCUUUUGAGUAAAGAUUCUGGUAUGGCUUUAACUCAAAUCGUGUAUUAACCAUGUUACUAAACCUUAAUCUGUAUUACAUACUCUUGCACAUCACUGACAUUCAUGUCACAGCUUUGAACGGAACUUCACUUCUGAGGAGGUUUUGCAGUUGCUGGAUCGUUUCUACAACUUAGAAAUGCUGGUAUCUAUAAUUACAUUCAUUGAUAUUAUAAUUAAAAUUCAUCAGUUAUUAUUACAUUUAUAUAUGUACAGUUUGGUCUUACUUGGAAUUUGCCAUGUUGAAAACCCCAUGUUUGUAUUGCAUGGUUGACACACCUCCUCUACAAAAUCAUAGUCAUAAGUUGAUGAAUGUCUUUGUGAACUAGUGGGUACAACAUCUGUACCCAUUAAUUCAGAAAGUUCAGUUCAAAUUGCAAAUAUACAAACAGCCCCACUGACUUAGGAAGACCCACAACACACUGAACAGGGGAGGGAGAGAACCAAAUCUUAUUUGCCAUUGGACAACAGAUGUUACUGCAGGUAGUUGACAACUCUGUUUUUCUUCUUUUUUUUCACAUGAGUGGCACCUAUCUGCCAAGGACAGUCCCUUUUUCUUAGCUGUUCCAAACCUGAGGAGCAUUUCCUGGGUUCCCGCCUACCUAAUGUUGUGUUCAUAAGAUUAAUGUAGUCAGGUUGAAGAACUGCAGAUCUAAUUGUUCUUGAAAUGGUGGAUAUGCUGAUUGGUAUCCUCUAGACAUGUAAAAGAAUUCCAUUGAUGGAUUGGCAAUGGAAGUUCUUCUAGUGGAAGGAUUCUAUAUAGAGAAAGAAAGACUGAAACCAACUUGGAUAAAAUAAUAUAGUAAAAAGGAUAUUUAGCUCUUUUCACUGAAAAUAUGCAUUCUGAUAUAGUGAAAUCAUAAAGCAGUAUUUCUGUUGCUGAUCUCAAAUAAAAUGGAAUGAGACAUUAUUUGAUGCGCUAUUGAUUCAAAACAAACUCUUCCACACAAAGAAAGGAUUGGUUGAUUGUCCGUUUUUACUUUGGGGAUGUGUUUAUGUAUGUCAGAUUGCUUUAGUUAGUUUAUCCCAUUUUUGAACUACUAAAUGAGUAAUUUCAUUAUUUAUUUUCCGACUGAGUUUCAGAAACCAGAUGAUGAGGACUCGGAGUUCUUAAGUCAAGAGGAAGAAUUUUGCUUGCCCCAAAGUUAUUUUGCCAAAGAAGAAUCGUAACUCACAAAAUUUAGGUAUUGCUUAUGGCAGUCAUUGGCACUAUUAUUGAGAUUUGAGAUUGUUUUACUGAUGAUUGUCACUCAAGUUGAUGUUGGAAGGACCAAGAAGUGGGCAGUAGUUCCAUGUCGAUACCGUGUGAAAUGUAACCAUCACAGAGGCAAUCUUGCUACCAAAGAGAGCCAAAUGUGAGGGAGUGAAUUCUUUUACUGAUUUCAUAAUGAAGUUACUUUUGAAGAUUUAUAUCUGUUUAUAAGGCUUUGUAAAUGAUUAUUUAUCUAAGAUAUGGUUUUUUUGAAAUACGAUGCUAAGAUCAGAUUGUUCAUUUUAUUUUUAUUAUUAUUAUUUAUCUAAAAUGUGCUUAAUAUAAGAAAAUGAUUAAAAAAUCAUGAAAAUAUAUUUUUGUUAAAAGAUGUUAUAUUUCAUGACUUUAAAAAUGAGUCAUUAUUUACCAUUUGAUUUUCAGAUAAUUACUCAAGGCCACUUUGCAUAGCAUAUCUGCAAGGGGCAGGUGCCUGACUUCAAUCAGGAAGGCCAUGAGAAGAGAGAAAGGCCUAUUUAACAACAUUACCAAAAACAAUUCUUAAAAAAAAAAAAAAAAAAAAAAAUUAAUUAGUUUUCAUUUAUUUUUAGGAACAAAAUUAUAUGUAAGAAUUCAAAUAUAAAAAAAAAAAAAAAAAAUUCUCAAAUCUUGAUUUAUAUACCUGACUCUGAAAGUAUUAUACAGCUAUUCAUUUUAUGUUCUGGGAAACUGCAUUGGAGUUCAAAUAAUGGAUGCUAACAGAAACAUAGUGACAGACAAAAAGUCAUUACAAUAUUAAGAGUGCACAGAGAUUAUCCAUUCUUUGGAUAAGUAGUAGAUUCUAUGAAAUAACAUUUUACCAGAAGCAGAAGGCAAAAAGAUUAAAACAAAAACAAAACAUGAAUCAAAAAUAAUGAAGCCUAGUCAACCCAUAUCAUCUUCUCGCUUUGGCUGGGCCUGAAGAUUAACAACAUUCUCAAGUGUUUUACACAGCGCCAUCUCCUUCCUUGGUGAGAAAUCCUAGAAUGAAAGAUGAAAACGAAAAUUUUGCUUUUGCAAAGCACUUUGAUAUCAUAUUGCCAUUAUGCAGAGCUUGAGAGUACUCUGUCAAUGCUGCAAAAAGUUUGUCAGAUUUUGAUCAGCGACAUAGGAUUGGUCAUUAGCUGGCUAAUGGUGACCCCAAAAAAUUAUGUAAAAAUGUGUACCUCAGUAGGUUCAGCAGCCUUGGGUUCUUCACCUUUGAAGUUGUCUUCACCUGCAAUGGAGUAUUUGUGUAUGAGACAUACAGAAGCCAAAACCAACAGAAACAACUCUAUUAUCUCAUGAAUGGAGAAGAAUAAUGUUAUGGGUCCAAAUUCUAAAUGCUUUCUAAGCGUUUAAGAAAAAUUGGGAACUCAACAUGGUAUCAGAGAUCUGGUUAACUAGAGGUCUCGGGUUCAACUCUUGUCUAAUGCCUACCAUUGUCUAUGGCUCCCAUGUGUUCCUAUGUACCAUAUUUUCGAAAUGUAGAUUUGCUUUAGUUUUUGGCCAUACAGUACCUCCAUCUUCAGGCAAAUCAGAGGUCCAGAGAGUGAGGUUGUCUCUCAACAGCUGCAUAAUCAGAGUGCUGUCCUUGUAUGACUCCUCGCUCAAGGUGUCCAAUUCUGCAAUUGCCUCAUCAAAAGCUUGCUUAGCCAAAUGGCAGGCCCUGUAAAAGUUUCAUUUCUCAAAUCAGGCCAUAACAAUCUUUUAAAAGGCUUGAACAGUCUAUGCUAUGCUUGAAACAUAUGCAUUACCUUUCAGGAGAAUUCAUUAUCUCAUAGUAGAAGACAGAGAAGUUGAGAGCAAGGCCAAGACGGAUUGGGUGGGUUGAAGGGAGGUCAGUGUUAGCAGUGCUGGAGGCAGCCUAACAAAUAGCAAAGAAAGGGUAUAUCAAGUGAUCGAAUUAGAAAAUGUUACAUAAAUACGAACAUUGACUCUAUGUGUUUGUUAAGAGAUGUCACAAGAAGUGAACAUGCCUCGUAGCCCUUCAGUGACUGCUCAGAGGCCUCUUUCCUUUCCUGGUCAGUCUUGAACUCAGCCAGAUACCGGUAGUAGUCACCUUUCCUGAAUUCAUUCAUACCAAAACACCAGGAAAGAUAAACUUAAAACCCCAUAUAAAAGUUUAGUUUCAAAUGUACAUAUGUAAAUAUAUUGCACAGCCUCCAUGUGAAUGAGUUCUUCUCAUAUAAAAAAACAAAUUAAUGUUAUAAUGUGUGUAUAUAUGUAUAGGGAGAGAAGACAGGGAAAACACAAAGUCAAUCUUAUUAACUCGAAAAAGAAUGAGAGAGAUAUGUAAAGUAACUGAGUGAAAUGUUUGACCUAUCUCAUAUGGGCCAUGGAAUGAAUCAAAAGCACAAUCCCUGUCCCCUCACAUGGGCACCAGUUGUAUGAAGAAGGAAAAGUAACUCAUCAUAUCAGAACAUAAUUAUUCUCUGGUAUGAUGCUCUUUGGAAUAUAUUCAGCAUGAUUGAACAACAAGAAUAUAGUCUAGCGGCAACAUGACUCACAUCUUGUAAUAGAACACAGUGGCUUCCCCCGAGCCAGAAGAGGGGAUCAGGUGUUUGUCUAUGAUUGUCAGAAUGUCACCACAAAUCUUGGAGAGCUCCUCCUCAACCUUCUGGCGGUAACCCUUAAUCAGUUUAACAUUCUGCUCGUUUCCCUUUGACUCUUCUUUCUGCUCAAUCGAAGACAUAAUGCGCCAAGAAGCACGUCGAGCGCCUAUAACAUUUUUGUACCCCACAGAGAGGAGGUUCCUCUCCUCCACAGUUAGCUCAAGGUCGAGUUUUGCCACUGUUUUCAUACACUCCACCAUUUCUGUGUCGCAAACAAAACAUCAAAUCAGAAGGAGAUCUCAAUUACAAUAUAGUAAGCAGAUAAUUUCCAAAUAGGUGCCUUCUAUAUGAGGCAUAGACAGAGUUCUCUACUUGAUUCUAAGAGUACAUUUAUCAUUAUCACUAUUCUCUAAAAAUUAGGAAAUGCGAAUGGUUUCAUACUCUCUGGAAAUUACAUGUUAACGUAUAUUAUGAACAUUUAAGCAAUAACCUAGGGAGGCCAUGAAUGCAUAUAAAUGAAUCUCUACACACAUCCAACCAAAAAAAAAAAGCCUAAAAAUAAAGAGGGAAAACAACAAUAAAAUUACAAGAAGAUAACCAAAAUAAUAAGGGAGGGAAAUGCAAUCCCAAUUUGGGGCCCUCCUCAAUGAUAAAAAGGCACUCUAUUACCUUUUCGGGUAUAACUCACGCUGUCCCAGUAUUUAAGUGGUAUAAGGUAGGUGACAUUCCUCUGAAUUCACAAUACACCCAUCCAAAAACAACAUAAUAUGACUAUUUCCUUAAAUGGAUAUCCUAAACAAAAAAUAAAAAUAAAAAUUGAUGAUCCUUCUUUUUUGGAUUUCUCAUUAUGAUGCUUUUUCCAAAGCUUGAUUCCCAUUAAUGGGACAUCUAUGAUCUUCUCCAACAACCAAAUUAACACAUACAAAAAUUGAUGAAAUCAAAGACCACAUGCGUAGAUGACAAGGGAUCCAUUCAAUUGAACACAACAACCAAAUAUGCCUCUUAACAACAUUGGAAACUUGAACACAACAUCCAAAUGUGCCUCUUAACAAUAUUGGAAACCCAGGGCGAAUAUGCUCAGCCACAUUCCCAAACAACCAAACACAAUGAAAUCAAACAAGUCAAGAAACUAAAUGAUUAGACCAACCCUAAUACCCAGAAGAAACAAUUGCAUGAGAAAGGGUAGGAGAUCAACUCCAUUUCAUAGAAUUCUAACAUUUCAACCCAUGCCCAUCUGCAACCAAUCCAUUACUUCUCUUUGGCACAAAGGCAGAUUGUAAAUCACCACCUAAGAGUCUAAGACCCAUUUCUGGCUGGAAAUAUAUAUAUUCACCCACAAAAACCAACACAAAACUUCAUAAAACCGCAUCCAUUCAUGAAUUCCCCAAAAACCCAGAUCCGAAGCAAUAAAAAACGACAAGAAAAACAACCCAAAAUUAAAGGAAAAGAAAAAAAAGAAAACCUUCAUAGCGCUCAGCCUGUUCGGCGAGCUUGGCCAUGUAAACCUGAGUCUCUCUUUCCUUCUCGGUCGACAUUGUUGCAAGAAAGAGAGACAAACCCACAACACCAGAGACUUUUUUGGAGGGAUGGAGGGAAAAACGAAGAAAAAUAGAGAGAAAAUAGGGGAGUUGUGGUAGGAAGAAAGGGUAUUUAUAUAUACAUAUAUAGAGAGAAGGGGGAAGUUCAAAAGGUCAAAGGCAAGUGGGGAGGAAGGAAGAUCGGAUCUAGACCGUUAGUUGGGGAAGAGAGUUUUCAAACUUAUCCGCCAUAUUCGGAUUUGAUCGGAUUUCUUCAAUUCUCUCUUCCCUUCCCCCCCUUCACCAGAUGCUCUCACGUGCUACGGUCCUAAAAUUUCAUAUUUUUAAAAUAUGUAAUUAAAUAAAAAAUUUAUUACCUUUUUUUUUUUAAAUUGAAAAAUGUGAAUUCCAUUUUUGAGGAUUUUAUCAAAUAUGACCUUCUAUCAAUUUUAAAAAGCUCCAAAUAAUAGUAUGUUAGAAGUUAAAAAAAAAUAUUUAUUUUUGAUAAAUUCCCAUUAAAGUUAUUGUUUUAUUUUUAUCUCCAAAUUAAUAAAUUAAAAUUAAUUAUAUAAUUUUAUGGUUGAAAUGGUUAGAGUUACCAAGGAAGGGGAAUUUUCAUGUUCAAUAAAUAAUAUAAAUAUUUUUUUUUGUAGUUUUGUAUAUUAAUUACAAUAUUAGUAAUUGUUGAUAUGAUUUAUAUUUUAAUUAGUUUUUUUCUAUCUUAAUAAUUUUUUAUAAUUUAAUUAUAUUAUUGGUAGUUUAAUGAUCUUCUUAGUUUAGUAAUCUCCAAAUGAGAUUGAAGACAACAUCAUUCUUGGCUCCAAAAGGAAAAAAAAAAAAAGGAAAAUUUUAUAUUUAUUGUUAUUAAUUAUUGAGUUUAAUUGAUAUUUAAUUAUUGAGAAAUAAUAAAUGAACAAAAAGAUUUAAGGAUGCGUUUGGGAAUGAUAUUUCUAAUAAUGUUUUUAAAUUUUGACUUUUAUGAUGGUAUUUUUAUCAAAAAUACAUUUAUAAAGAACUAAUUAAUGUUUUGAUAUAAAUAUGAGAAAAAAAUUUAUCUUGUGUUUUUCAAAAUUUUUAAAAAAUUUCAAACUGACAAGAUUUGUACUUGCUUUUUCAUAAAAAUUUCUAUACUUUAUAUGUGGCUAUUUUUAAAAAUAAAAAUAAAAAAUAUAUCCAAACAUGGCCUAACAAUCUAUAGAAUUUUAAUGGUAAGAUUUUGAGGGUGGCUCUCUUGGUGAUCAUUAUCAUUCUUUUUGACCAUAUGAUGAUGAUGAUGAGACACACAAUUUAAUAAUGGAGUCUGAUAAGUGUGGUUGAUGGAAAAGGCCCUACAAGAGGGCCAAUUUGCCUUCUAUUAUAUGCUGUCUUUAUUUAUUUACACUUGAAUGCAUAUGGGCAGCAAUUAUAUAAAGCUAGAAUAUAGCAUUGGGCUAGCUUUUGUUAGAAGAUUAGAAUCAAUUCCAAAGAAUUUUCCUAAUUGUUAUUUGUUAGAGUCAAAAGGAUUCAACCAUCUCAUUUGAAAAAUUAAUAAGUUUUGAUUUUGCAUUCCAAUAAUUCCUACCCUAUCAAUUCUUAAAUCGGGUUUUGAUUAUUUCAUUUAAAAAUUAAUUGUUAUGGGAGGAUAGAAGACAAUUUUCUUACUUAGUGUAUCACGAAAACUAAUAUGAAAUUUAUUUUUAUUAAUGACAAUGAUUUUGAAAUACAUUACUAACACACUUUUCUAUUGUGCAAUUGAAUAAAAAUACCUUAACACUUUUGUUUUAUGUUGGAAUAUAUUUUCAAAUGUUAUAAACUACCACCCGGUUAAGAAAGAAUAAUUUAAUAUUUUUUUUAAAAAAUUGCUUCUCAUAUAUAUUUAAGAUCUUCUUACAUAAUCUUACUUAACUCCUUAUAAAAUUUAAAUUAAAAAAAAAAUUGUAAGAUAUGGAAUAAUUUUGGAUUUGGGUACUUGAAAAAAAACAUAAAUAAAUAUGAUAAAAUAAAUAAAUAAAUAAAUAAGAUCAAAAUACAAAGAAAUAACAUUAAAACAUAAAUGAAUAAUAAUAAAAAAAAAUGGAAAAUUUUAGCCUCCAAUGAGUUGCAACCGUUGGAUCGAAGACUUUGAAUGUCAACCCUUGGAUUAUUUUCAUGGCAUGGGACCGUUUGGUAACCCAUAGGAUGAGUUUUUUUUUUUUAAUUUACCUAACCUUGGCACGUGCCUUAUAACUAUUGGUCUAAUUUUGUGGGUAUGAUACCGUGCCUCCGAUUGGGAAGGGAUUCCGGUAUAUAGCGAUGGAUUGUUCUUUGGUACCACUCUUUAUUUUGGGUACCUACCCACAUUUGACCCAAUAAUAAAAUAACAUGUGUAAAAUACAUAUCAUUAAAAAAUUUAUAAAAACUUAUCAAAUCGGUAAAGAUGACUUGUUGAUGAGAAAUAAUCACAUGCAUUUCAUACAUAUCUAAAUAUUACAAUUUUUUUAUAAUUUAUUAUUGAAUAUCAAAUAUAAUUUGUUUUUUAAUGAAUUACCUAACUCUAUCUAAAAAAGAAAAUCUUACCAACUACUCUUAUACUCUCAUUAUUCAUAUAUAUAAAAAAAAAAGGAUAGUAAUUUAAUAUAAAAAUUAAAUAAUUUCAACUACCAAAUUACAAAAUAUGUAAGAUGUAUUUUGAUGAAUCAAAUUUCAAUAUCAAGUUUAAAACUUUUUGAGAGAGAAAAUUUAAAAUUUGUAUUAUGUGAAAAAGAUGAAGGAUUUCAAGUGAUUACAAAUAUCAAAGGUAAUAUUUGAUUUUUUUUUUAUCCAAAUAUAAUUGUUGUAGGAAGAAAUGUGAUGUUAAAUAAUGAUUUUAGAAUUUUAUAUGAGUUUAUUAUAAAAUUUUGUUAUCAAAUUGUUAUUAAUAUUUUUAUAUAAUUUUUUUUUUGUUCAUAGAUGAAAUUUGAAGAUGAAGUUUUAUAUGUCUUGAAAAAGACAUUAUACGAAAUAUGUCAAGUGAUUACAAGUGUUAAAAGGUAACAUUUGAUUUUUUUUUUUUUUUCCAUUUACACAUAACUGUUGUAGGUAGAAAUGUCAUGUUAAAUGACAUUUAAAUAUGUAAUGAUUUAUAACAUCUAGAUUUUUUAAUUUUUUUUCUAAGUUAUUAUUAAUCAAAUUGAGAGCAUUUAGUCAUUUGUUAUGAAAUUGUCAUCAGUAUUUUUAUAUUAUUAUUUUGUGUAUUCGUAGACUAAAUUCGAAGAUGAAGUUUUAUAUAUUGAAAUGAGGUAUGAAAAUUGUGAGAGGGAGCACGAACUUUGUAAGAUAGGAUACGAAUUUUCUAAGAGAGGGUACGAACUUUGUGAGAAAUGGUACAAAUUUUAUGAGAAAUUGUACGAAUUUUAUAAGAAAUUGUACAAACUUUGUGAUAGUGGGUACGAACUUUGUGAAAAAAAAGUACGAACUUUAUAAGAAAGGGUACAAACUUUGUAAGAAAGUGUAUGAACUUUGUAAUAGAGGGUAUGAACUUUGUAAGAAAGUGUAUGAACUUUGUGAGAGAUGGUACGAACUUUGUAAUAGAGGGUACGAACUUUGUGAGACAUGGUACGAACUUUGUGAGAGUGUGUACGAACUUUGUAAGAAAUUGUACAAACUUUGUGAGAGAGGGUACGAACUUUGUAAGAAUGGGUACGAACUUGGUAAGAGAUGGUACGAACUUGGUAAGAGAUGGUACGAACUUGGUAAGAGAAGGUAUGAACUUUGUAAGAUAUGGUACGAACUUUGUAAGAGAUUGUACGAACUUUGUGAUAAAUGGUACGAACUUUGUGAUAGAGGGUAUGAACUUUGUGAGAAAUAGUACGAACUUUGUGAAUGAGGGUACGAACUUCGUGAAGGAGGGUACGAACUUCCAUCAUUUCUUUAAGAGUAAUUUUUUUAAUUUCUUUUAAGAGUAAUUUCCAUUAUUUCUAAGCUUAAUUAGUAUCAAUAAAUAAUAUUAUUGUAUUUCCAUGUGGAAAAAAUUUUGAAAAGUUUGAAAUUUUGUACAAUUUUUUAGGGUAAAGAGAAUGUGCGAAGGGUGCUAAGAAUGUGAGGAUUCCUCACAUUUUUUGUACCAUUCCUCACAUUAUUCGUACCUUCUAUAAUUACUUAGUGUUUUAAUUUUUUAAUUUUCUUUAAAAUAAUUUUCAUCAUUUCAUUAGUUGAUAAACAAUAUUAUUUAUAUUUUUAAGUGGAAAAAAAUCAAAAAAAUCGAAAAAUUGUUAAAUUUCAAGAUAUGGGAAUGUGAGGUAAGGUAUCAAGAAUGUGAGGAUUUCUCAUAAUCUUCAUACCUUUUCUCACAUUUUUCAUAUCCUCUCUAAUUUUUUAGUGUUUUAAUUUUCUAAUUUUUUUAGGAUAAUUUACAUUAUUUCCUAUUUUAAUUUUUUUUAAUUCUUAUUUUUUUUAACAAUUCUAUCAAUAAUAACUCAAAAUAAUAUUAUUAAACUAUUUUAUUGUUAUUUCAAGUUAAAAAGUAAAUCUGAAAAUUUAAAAAUAUAAAUAAUUUAGGAUACGAAAAAUAUGAGAAUCGUAUGAAAAAUAUGAUAAAUACAUGUUUGGUACUUUCAUCACAUUUUUCAUAUUGAUUUUUAGUUUAAAAAUUUUUUAAAUUACAAAUUUAUUUUCGAAAAUACUAUCAUUAGUAACUUAAAAGAGUAAUAUUACCAUAUUCAUUUUUAGGUUGAAUUUAAAUGUUUAAUAAUUUGUUAAAAAUAAAAUAAUGUAAUUAUGAUAUAUGAUUUUUUUUUUUUUUGUUAAUAAAUAUGUUUUCAAAUUUUAUAUCAUUUUUAUUUUCAUUUUUUUCUAAUUCUAUUUUUAUCUCAUAUUUAUUUUAUUUAAACCCAAAAUUAUUGAGAAUGGAGGAAGAAAUAAGGUCACAACCGGUUCUUCCCUUAACUAGUUAAGUGGAAUUUUUAUUUCAAAUUUAAAAUGGAUGUCCGAAAAACUUUUUCGGUACCUACCGAAGAGGUACCCUAGAAUUUUCAUAUAGCGAUAGACUCAUAUUUCAGUGAGACUUAGGAGGGAAAAAAUGAAACCGUAAUUGUCCACGUUUUAUUUUUCGAUACCAUUUUUUCCGAUAGCGGGACCCACCAAGAUGCCGCUUACUACAUUAGCAGUAGCACUCUCCCAACAAAAAACCUAAUGCACAAGUCAUACUGAGAUGUAUCCGGUCCUAAAAUUUGGUGGGUUUGGUAAAUGAAGGAGGUUGUUGGAACCCAUGUCAAGAUGUAGGAGAAGAUGCCUCUUACUUUUGGAAAAAUGUAGGCAUAUGAAGCAGCUGAAGGAGGCUCAUGCCCAGGUACUCACUUGCGGGCUUGGAACUGAUAGCUUUGCCCUCAGCAGGCUCUUGGCCUUUUGCUCACACCCACUUCAUGGGAGCCUCCCUCAUGCCUGGAAACUAUUUCAACAGAUUCAACACCCCACCAUCUGCAUCUGCAACACAAUGAUCAAAGCUUUCGUACUCAAGGGCAAACUGAUCAACACCAUUCAGAUUUACUCCCAGAUGCUGGAAAAUGGGCUGUACCCUGACAACUACACCCUUCCUUAUGUGUUGAAGGCCUGUGCAGGGCUGCAGAGCUGUCAUCUAGGAGAAUCGGCUCAUGGGCAGAGUGUGAAGCUGGGGUUUUGGUUUGAUAUUUUUGUGGGUAACACUUUGAUUGCCAUGUACUCAUCAUUUGGAAAUGUGAGGGCAGCAAGAUGCAUAUUUGAUGAAAUGCCUUGGCACACUGCUGUGUCAUGGACAGUCAUGAUUUCUGGGUAUGCAAAGGUGGGUGAUGUUGAGACAGCAAGAAUGCUUUUUGAUGAAGCACCCAUGAAGGAUAGAGGAAUAUGGGGUUCAAUCAUAUCUGGGUAUGUGCAGAACAAUUGUUUUAAGGAGGGUUUGCAGAUGUUCCGUUUGAUGCAGUCCACAGGGUUGGAGCCUGAUGAGGCCAUUCUUGUGAGCAUUCUAUGUGCUUGUGCCCAUUUAGGAGCUAUGGAAAUUGGGGUUUGGGUCCAUAGAUAUUUGGACCAAUUGGGUCAUCCACUGAGUGUGAGAUUGAGCACUGGUCUGAUAGACAUGUAUGCUAAAUGUGGGAGUUUGGAUAUAGCCAAGAAACUGUUUGACGGAAUGUCGCAAAGGGAUACAAUUUGUUGGAAUGCCAUGAUUUCAGGGAUGGCAAUGAAUGGAGAUGGAGACAAUGCACUUAGGCUGUUUUCAGAGAUGGAGAAGGCUGGUGUCAAGCCUGAUGAUAUCACCUUCAUUGCCAUUUUUACUGCUUGUAGUUAUUCAGGCAUGGCACAUGAAGCUAUAAGGCUGUUAAAUAGCAUGUGUACAGUAUACAAUAUGGAGCCCAAGAGCGAGCAUUAUGGGUGUAUAGUUGACCUUCUUGGCCGAGCUGGGCUCCUGAAAGAAGCCAAGGAACUCAUCCUCAAAAUGCCUAAUUCAAGCAGCCCCACGGAGCAAGCCAUAGCUUGGAGGGCAUUACUGAGCGCUUGUUGUAGUCAUGGGCAAACAGAAGUGGCUGAGGAUGCAGCACAGAGACUCUUCCAUUUAGAACAUCACAGUGGGGCCUAUGUUCUGCUUUCAAACUUAUAUGCAGCUGCAGGAAAACAGGACCAUGUGAGAAGAAUAAGGAAGAUGAUGGAAAACAGAGGAGUAGACAAGGCUCCAGGUUGCAGCUCAGUCAAGAUCAAUGGGGUUGUUCAUGAGUUUAUUGCAGGGGAAGAGACACAUCUGCAGAUGGAAGAAGUACAUAGAGUUUUGGAGAAGAUGAAUAAGCAGAUGGGUUAUUCUGGGUUCAACCCAUAUCCGUUUGAAGUUGAUGAGACAUUAUGUAUCCAAGCUUGACAACCAGCCCUCUGGGUGUGGGAAGUCAGAAACAGCACAAGGUUUCACAACAGAAGCAAAACACAAUGAAUCUUGAUAUUUCAUUCUCUCCUUCAAACCCUAAAAAGGUAUUAUAUUAUGGGUCUAUGAACAGCAUAAGCAACUCUCAACCAACGCAAAACCAGGUAUUGAUUAACUUGAGGGCAGAGUUUAUCAGUGCGAUAAUUGGAGACAAAAAGAAGCUAAAUUUCUCUUUUUAUUCAGAGAAUAGGUUGAACAUAUGUUUUUGCACAUACAAGUACAACAUUAUAUAAAUAAAAAAAUAUGUUGAUAUCUUGACUAAAAGAGGAAAUCCGUGUCAGAAACUUCGAGGACUUUGUGUACACCUAUGGGUUUCACACCUGGCCGGAAUGCAUUUCCUUCAAUGUACCUACAGUAGCAUGGAAUCGAUCAUUAGUUCCUCCAUCUAACAUUGGGUUUCAGAAACUGUAAGUUGCCUAGAUCCGAGUAAAGAAGUGGACUCACAUUUCUUUCAGAAAAGGGUGCUUAUAGAAGGCAUCAGGAAUUCUCCCUGAAAAUUGAUUGUGAUCCAAGAACCUGAAAUACAAUUAAGGUGACCUUAGAUAUAUACUGAAAGCAUCAACAAAUAGUGAUGUAAAAUCCCUUCUCUAUGGUCAUGUCCUCAUCCAUUCAUUACUCCCUUUCAGGAUUUUGAUGGAUGGAAUUCUACUCUUUCCUAUUUUCCAAGAAUGUCCCCACAACAGCAAGAAAAUGACCCAUCAAGAAACACAAAAAUGAAUACAUUGACUUUAGGAUGGAAAGGAACUAAGAAGCUAAUCUUCCCAGGUCUUACAGGGGUCAGAUUAGAGCUCCCUAGCUAAUUAUCUUACAGUAUAAAGUCACCAUGACAGUAAUAAUUCAGUUGGCAACUUCAUGCCCAAUGCAUGGUCUAGCUUUGUAGACCAUUUUUGAGAAUGGCUAGUAAGAUGGUCAGUCAAUGAGAUCUAAUCGAGAUCCCAUUGAACUGUGUGCUUAAACUUCCAGUUUGAUGCAUAUCAGUAAGUGAAAGAAGGAAUAUUUUUCUUUACAUAUGGAUGAAACAGCACAAUUGUAAAAGGGAUACAAUUGCACAAAUCCAAACUUACAAGGAAGUCAAUCUAGGAAUAUGAGCAAGCCCAGAUGGUACUACACCAGACAUUUUGUUGUGGGAUAGGUACCUGUAACCAACAGAGCAAUCAACAUUACAAACUCUAUGACUAGAAAAAGGAAAGGAAAUUUUGACACAGAAAAGAAAUAAAACCUCAAUUAACAGUGACAUACAUAAGCAACACUUACAAGAUUUCUAAGUUCGUCAAGUUUGCAAGUUGUGCUGGAAUUCCUCCACUGAAAUAAUUGUUAUUCAGAUAGCUGCAUAGAAAAAUUAAAAGCAGAAUUACUUAGAAUUAGCAGUUUAUAAUACCAAUAGUUACAAAACAUAAAUGAAUUCAUUAUGGAUUCCUCAACUGGGAUUAACGUACAGGUUGCGAAGAGCAGGAAAGCAUCCCUCAAUGCGUAUGAGUUCCCUUAUGGUACCCACCAAAUGAUUGUUGCCAACAUCCCUACAAAGAUGGGAUAUUACAAUGGGUUGCAUUACUACUGAGAUAAAGAGAUAGUUUCUCUAGAACAAGAUCUGCAAAGAGAAGAAGAAAUGUUACAAGUGCCGAAGGUUUUGCAGAGUGCCCAAUUCUGGAGGAAUACGGCCAACAAAACGAUUUUCAUGUAGAUAGAGGUAACGAAGCUCAGGAAGAUUUGCAAGCUCCUUGGGGAUUUCCCCUUUGAAAUUAUUGAAGCUCAGAUAUCUGCAGAAGAAUCAGUUAACAAUCUUCUAACUGUAAGAAGGAUAGGUGUACAACAAGAAUUCCCAACAAAAAUAAUCUUCAGAAAAAUGAAAUUACUCACAGAUGUGUUAAUCUCUUCAAUUCACCUAUUUCAGGAGGAAUGACAUCUUGUAGCUUAUUCCACCUCAAAUUACUGAAAGAAACCCAAUAUGAUAAAAUAAGACAAAAGAUCAGUACACAAUAAAAAGAUGAGAGAGAAUAAAUUAAAAGCUUAAUAAUUCGCUUCAGGUUAGGAAAAGUGUUCACAAAACAACAUCUGGUAUUAAUCCAACAGGCAUUUUUGGAAGUACAGAAAAGGUCACUGAUAUAAUGAUGCAUAGGUUUACAUGGCAUGGCAUAAAAGCUCAGUAUCAGGAAGUGCAUGAGAUGAUACAAACAACUAUGAAUUAUAGUCGAACAAAAUCAACUAGCCAAGCCUUAUGACAUCAUGUAGGGCAGACCUAGGCAAAUCUUGUUAUGCCUUUCAAGGUUGCAUUUCAUAUGGCUAUGUAAUAUUCUUGCUAAAAGAAAUCAUUCAGACAAGCAAUUGGUGUUAUAUAUAAAAAUAUCCCAAGUUAAAAGGGGCAUGUUAUUUUUGAAUAACUGGGAUAUCAUCCACAAUGCCUCAAACAAUACAAGAUCAUUCCUUCAAAAAUAUCAUAGGAUCAAGAAAGUGCAGGAAGUAAGCAUCAGAACCAGAGGCAGGAAACGUGGUUCUUACUGCACAAACAUAGGAGGAUAUACAAAGCAUUAGGAAACGGAAUGAGAAAACACAUAGAAAGCCUCCUAGAUAAAUGCAGGAAGUAGGAACCAUAAAGAAUUCAGGAUCUAGAGUAACAACAAGAUCAUGACAUUGUAUAUUCAUAAACGCUGAUUAUAAUUAAGUAAUCACUGGCUCAUUACAAUAUUACCAAGUACCAGUCAAUUAAUCUUUAAAAACCAUUUCCAUUUCUAAUAAGACAAAAUGAACCACUGAUGAUCUUUGUAGAUUAGAUAUAAAUAAGAUCCCAAAAUAUUUUCCAUAAGCACAAGUUUCUAAAAAAAGAAACUGUGAGAAAUACAAACCAAAAGAAAAGGCAUGAAUGGUGCAGCUUGAAGUGUGCUCCCUUAAAAGGUUUCAAAAGCAGAAGAAAGUGUCUAGGAAAACAGGAUUCCAAAAACCUAUGAGAACUUCCAGUAAUCCUGAAACAGAUAAUAGUUGCAUAGCCCAAAACCUGGUAGAUACAUUUUAGCUGCUUAAAGCAAGCAAAAGCCUGCUAAUUAUGGCUCUAUUUUUAUAUUCAUAGAUCUAUAUUUAUUUGCCUACAAUAACAGUUUCUUAGUAGCAAAGACCAGAGUGACCAACAUGACCAAUUACUUGGAUUAUGCCAUGCUAACAACACAUGUUACACAUCCGAAAAGAUGCAUCAGUGUCUGAGACACAUAUUAGCCAGGUCUAGCUACAUGUCAGAGAAGUACAAAAUCUGGCAUGCUUCUGUGGAAAUGCAUCAUAAAAUAGGGAACUGUAACAAUCAAAGUUGUUUCCGCCUUGAAGAUAUACAAUAUUUUGCUAUCAGUACAUUCACUGAAAAAAGAAGAUUGAUGCCAAAGGCAACCUGCGAGAUACCUACAGCUUUUUCAAUUAAAUUUAGUCAGGCUCCAUGCUUUAGAUAACAACCCAAAAGACUACCACUGAUAUUUGAUUUGAAAAAAUGGCAUCAUCAGUAGCAGUGUUAUCAAAAUGAACAUGCUGCAUACACAAAAUAGGCACCAACUUUCAAGGUAGUUCUUAUGUUAAAAUCAGGAUAACAAACCCUACAAACUUUUAGUAGCUGAUAUGCUCUAUAUAUAGCCUCUUUUAAAGUGGGCAAUGUCAUGCAACAGCCAAGUAAAAGGCAAAAGAAAAUCCUAUAAAUAGGACAGAGAAAGUUAUCCCCAAGAAUGUGUAAAAACUUAUGUAACCUACUUCACUACAGUUUGAAAAUUUGUGAGGAUAAGAUCCAUACAAGCCACUCUUUCUAUACAAAAACAAUGUACGACAUAUGUGAUUUAAGAUAAAGAUGCAAAGACAACAGAAAGGAAUCUACCCUAUGGCCCAUACCACCGAGUAGAGAAUCCAUGGCUAUGACUGUCCCAAUUCUAAGAUCAAUCUUGCUACAACAACUUAAAGUACUAUCACCAUGAUUGUUUUGUCAUGUCAAUUUUCAAGUCUAAUUAUUGGGAGUUCCCAGACGAACUAUUUUGCUCAAUGGCCAAAACAUAGACAUAUUGAAGAAUGCAUUCUGUGUCUUAAAAUAGAUGCUGCCAUUUCAUAAUACGUUAAGUUAGGGGGCAUUUCCAUGUUUGCUUCAACCGAAUUAUAUCCAUGGCAGAACAAUAAUAAUAGAGAACAUACGCCAAGACAACAUGCUAUGUGCGUAAGUCAAAUGUCAAAGUGAAAUCAAGUGGACCAAUAUUAAAUCUGAUAGCGAGUUAAGAGCCUCACAGUAUUCUAAGACGCUUCAGCCGUCCAAUUUGUGGAGGAAUAGGCCCAGUCAACUUGUUAUUAUGGAGAUCCCUGCCAUAGUACACAGUCAUACAGAUUAAAGACAAUUGAAGGAAAAGGAAUUUUAAAACAAGAACUUCUGAUAGUGCUGAAACACCUUCCAGUUAUUCUUUACAUUUGAAGAUAAGGGGAAUAAAUUCACCAUUGCAAUCCUAGAAUACAUUAAGGGCCAAUGAACUAUCAUAACAAACAUACAAACUUGGGAUUUUAAUACACAAGCAAACUAGCACAUCAGUGAACAGCCAUUAAAACAAAACCGUAGCAAAAAACAGCUUCAAAUCGUUCAAAAAUGACUUCAGAAUUCAUAACAAAUAUCAAAGAUAGAAGAUCAUUUAUGCAUGUCCUCAAAAAAAUACCAUGCAGCACAACUGAGUAUAUAUAGUGACAAAAAAAAUGUUGAAACCAACUUUUUGUUAGAAAACCAGUCAGAGACGAUACUAAUUGCACAUAUCAUUCAUGCAUCAAGGGUGGAUGCAAUUUCUAUAGUCCAGAAGCCAAGAAUCACAUAUUAAUCAGAAGGAGAAAGAAACUUACAGCCUUGUAAGAUCCAACAAAUUGGUCACAGCAGUAGGAAAAGGCCCCACAAUCGACACUGCAUAAACUUCCCUGCAAGCACACAAACAUAUUCCAAUAAGCAUUCAACACAUUAUUGAAACAUCAAAUUGCAACCAUCGUUUCUAAAUUUCAACUUGACCCCCACAACUCAUUCGUUCAAAACAGAUUCAUUUCAAUGAACUUGCAAUAUAUAACUGAAACAUCAAUUACCAACCAUCAUUUCCGUACGUUAAAACAAAUUCAUUCCUAUGAAUUAUCCUUAACACCCCAUUGCAUUACAACACCCACAAGUAUUAAACUCAAACACUUCACAAUAUAACGUUUAAUUCAACAUUUCUAAGGUACUUUUCAAGCUUUAAUUAGCUAGAAAAAACGCAAUUUCCCCUCCCAAAAGCAAGAAAAAACUCCAACAAAACCGUACAUUAAUGAACAAUCAGAAAACGACAGUUACAACAUGAACACACUUCCAAAUCAAUGCAAAUAAGAAGUACCCAAAAAUAUAGAGAGGGAGAGAGAGAACGCUUACAGUUCAGUAACUACUCUAUAAUCACCCUGAGUAGAGCAGGUGACACCAGACCAAGGCGGGAGGUCGCCGUCGCCGCAGGGAUCGUCUCCGACCCACGCGUACACCACUCUCCAUCCCAGAGACGCCUUGAUUUCGUUCAAAGCCUUCACUGCAACCACAAAACCCCACAUCCGAAUCAAAUCUAACCCCAUUCCAACCUCAAAAACACCAGAUCCGAGCUCGAGAUCCGAAAAUUACCAUCACGCUUUAGGGUUUUGCAGAGGCCGAGGUCGAGAAACAAGGACAGAAGGAGAAUCAGAUUCAAAGCCACUGAAGAAGACGGACGAGCCAUUUCGCCGUUGGAUCAACACUCACAUAUGGAAGGAUCCAAUUCACCACUUUUCUCUCUCUCUCUCUCUCUCUCUCUCUCUCUCUGGUUUCAAUGGAGAUUCACUUCACUUCUUGCUUCUGCCUCUGCCGACGCGGACGCGGACGCGGAACGAGGAGUUGAAAACCGCUUCGUCGGUGGAUUUUCUUUUCUUUUCCAUUUUUCUUUUCUAAUGAUUAAAAUUUUUCAUUUAAUAAAUAAAUAAAUAUUUCUAAAGAAAGACAUCAUGGAAAAUUAUAAUUUUAUUCCACAAAAUAAUUAUGAUGGAAAAAACUUUUUUACAGUUCAAACAAGCUUGAAAUGAAAUGUAAUUCAAAUGACCUAAAAGUUCUAGUGUUUUUUUUUUUUCCAAUCAAGGCCAAUUAAUUCAUAAUUAAAUAGUUAAAAACUCAUGUGGUAAAUGAAAGAUUAAAUGAUGAAUUCAAUUUAGAAAAAUUAUAUUUUGAAUAUUUAAUAAAUAUAUGAUCAAGAAAAAGGGUGUUGAUGAAAUUAAUUACCCAUUUAAAUUAUUAUUAUCUCGCAGCAUUACUGAAAUAAUAUUAAAAUUAUUUAUUUACUUUAAACUUUUAUAGUAAUUUAUUUUUUGAAUUUGACCCAUUAAAUUUACUUUCCAUCAAGUUGACUUGUAUGUACUUUUUUUUCUCAAAAUUAAGACAUUUUGUGUAAUGUCAACUUAAUUUAAUGAAUAAAAGAAUUUAUAUAUUUACUUUAUUUGACAAUUAUGAUUUUGAUUCACUAGAUGAAUAGAUAUAUUCAUUUCAAUUGUCGUCAAAAAAUUUAAAAAAACCCGGGCUAGGUAAGUUUUUUUAAACUCAUUCCUAAUCAUAUAUCAUUUUAGUACUAAAGAAAUUCAAAUCCUUAAUUAAAAUAUAUAUCAACAAAUUCAAACAAAUUUCAAAUAAUGCGACCCUAACGGCUCAAAUUUAGAAUAUUAAUAUUUUAAAUAUUUCAUAAAUAUAUGAUUGAGAAAAAAAGGUGUCCAUCAAAUUAAUUACUCAUUUAAGUUACUAAUGUCUUGUAGCAUUAGUAUAAUUAAAACAAUAAUAAAAUCAUUUAACUUAGAAUCAUGCACUAAAGGAGGAAAAAAUAAACUUCUAUUUUGAAUUUUUAUAGCAAUUUAUUUCUUCAAUUUCACUUACAAGUACCAUUGUCUCAAAACUAAUGCCUUUCACAUAUGUAUUGUGAAGUUAAUUUAAUGAAUGAAGAAAAUGGUAUAUUUACUUGAUUUCAUAAUUAUGAUUUUGAUUUACUUGAUUAAUGGACAUUUAUUUCAAUUAUUUGUUAAAAAAAAUAGAAAAAUAUAUAUAUUUUCUCUUUGAUCCAAAUAAACUCAUCUCAUAUUUUAUAUCAUUUUAAUAUUAGAAAAACUGAAAUCCUUAAUUGAUAUAUACAAUAACAAAUUCAAACGAACUUUAAGAAAUGCAUCUUGUUCACGAGGGUAAUAAAAAUAUUGGUGUAGCUAGAAAAAGGGAAUCAAAUUUGAAUUCUCAACAUUAGAUAUUUUGUAAUCCAAUAAUUAUUAUUCAUUUCUUUAAAUAUAUAGUUCUAAAUAAAAUGAUUUUAUUAUUGUAAGGAAAAAAAUAAAAAUUUAUAUAAGCUCUUUGGGGCUAGAUAUAUUCCAAGCAAUAUAAAUCCUUACAAACUCAUCCCUAACCUUGUACCAUUUUAAUAUCAAAGAAACUCAUACACCAAAUUGAUGUAGAUUCAAGCAAUAGGAUUUGAUCAUCUCUCCGAUGUUGAGAAUAUUCAACUCAAAGACUUAUAGUUCAUUUUAUCUGGGAGGCACACCUUGAUUGACUUAUCGAAUGAAAAAGAAAUGAAGACCCACAAAUUAAAGAAAAUAUCGAGGUGGGGCGAAAGAAUACAAAUUAAUCAUCUCUUCAAUAUAAAAAAUAUUCAACUCGAACUUAUAGUUCAUUACAUCUUAGAGGCACACCUUGAUUGAGAUGUUAGAAAGACCUAUAAAUCAAUUGGAAGAAAAACACCAAAUGAAUAUUAUUCAAAAUCAAAUAUAUACAAUAUUCCAAUGUAUAGAAGAAGAAUAAUAAAAGAAAGGGAAAGGAUACAGAAUGAAAGAGAAAUGAAGGGCCACAAUUAAUUAAAGAAGAAUACGAAGGUGGGAACAAUAUUAAUUCAUUAUAUCGAUCAUACUCAUCAUAUUCAUAGUCAUAGAUACACAGCACCAAACUUUACAUGAAUAUAUUUAUUGUAAACAGUAGUGAAGAGAGAGGGGAAAAGACCAUCGUGUCCACAGUCCACACAAGAAAUAUAGCUGUAAUCACCUCACAUUUCCUCGUCAAACCACCUCCAAAUUUAAUGAAACUCAUGGGCUUCUCCUGAGCUCCUACGCCCAAAAAGCUAAAAGCAAACCCCAAACCCCAAGUCUAGUACACCAUUUCCAUGCUUGUUUCUGCUGCUUCUACAAAGAUUUUUCCCAUGGUUAAUUUCAUAUUUUUCUCCUUGAAAGCAUAAAAAUUCUAUCCAAAAACAAGCGUGGAAAUAGCAACAUUUGCGGUAGAAUAUACUAGUAGCUAAUUAGAUCAAAAAGAGAAGCAAGAAACUCAUUGGUUGUAGCCAAUUCUCCAUCCCAAAGCUGUAAAUCUUCUUCCAUGUGUUGUGGGCAGCUUUUCAAGAACAUAGGGUACUCCAUGGAAGACACGCCAAGAACUGAAAACAAGCCAAAGAUGAAGGGUACUGCCAAGUAGUAAUGAUUCAGUUGUGGAGAGGGUUGGGCCCUGAGGGCACUAGUCUCUUCUCCACGCCGUAUCUUGGGUCAAUCUCAUCGGGUGAUGAUGGUGGCGGAGGCGGCAGCAGAAGAGGUCGACGGCCCCGGAUUCUUUGAAUCUGAAUGCAUAAAGAAGAUGGGGCUUGUUCAGUUGAUGAUGACACUGCAGAACUACAAGAACGGUGGCGGCGGUGGUGGGGGUGGUGGUGGUGGGUGGUUGUGGGGUUGGAGAAUUGGCCCAGUUGGGUGGCGGAUGAAGCCAAGAAGACAAGGCCAAGAAGCAUGAGAACCCAAAGCCAAGAAGAGGGAGAGCUCUUCAUGGUGAUUAAGAUUUAAGACUACUUUCAGAUCAGGUGAGACUUGAGAAAGAGAGAGAGAGAGAGAGAGAGAGAAAGAGAGAGAGGAGGAGGAGAAGAAGAAGAAGAAAGAAUAUAUAAGGAGGAGGAGGAGGUGGUGGUGGUGAGUAUAUAGAGAGGCGAGAGACACAUGAAGUCAUGAAGAGAGAAAAAGAUUGGUUUUGGGGCUUCGGGAGAUGCAGAAGUGCUUGCUCAAAAUCAACAUCUUUCAUCAAACGGAUCACGUAUAUGAACGAGUGGGAUUGUACUUUGUUGAGGGAGUUUCCACAUUUCCCAUUACUUGUAGUUAAGAUUGUGGGGUCUGCUCACCAUUUAUGGCUCACCUCAUCACCAGUUGUCAUUCAUUACUCCCGACUCCUAGCCAUGGUCACUUGUGGUAUGCUAACUUUGUGGAUUUGGUUCACCC